rnacentral:misc_RNA from 1 species
GAUGAAGAACGCAGCGAAAUGCGAUAAGUAAUGUGAAUUGCAGAAUUCCGUGAAUCAUCGAAUCUUUGAACGCACAUUGCGCCCCCUGGCAUUCCGGGGGGCAUGCCUGUCCGAGCGUCAUUUCUGCCCUCCAGCCCGGCUGGGUGUUGGGCGCUGUCCCCCCGGGGACACGCCCCAAAGGCAGUGGCGGCGCCGCGUCGGGUCCUCGAGCGUAUGGGGCUUUGACACCCGCUCGGGACGGACUCGUCGGCGCUGGUCUUCCUCCAGGCGACCCUUCGGGGCUCGUCUUCCUUCGGUUGACCUCGGAUCAGGUAGGGUUACCCGCUGAACUUAAGCAUAUCAAUAAGCGGAGGA